rnacentral:lncRNA from 1 species
AGAAAUAUUACAAUGCUUUUUUCUAGUAAUAAUACUUCUUUAUCAAUUGAUAACAAUAAAGUGUAACUCUGCACUCUCAAAUACUGCUCAAAAUACAAUAAUUUCCAUUCAACACCAAGAAUAUCAGAUUUUAUUUCAACCGAACUAAAUUCACAUAAUUUUUGUAAUUACAGACUUCCUCUGUCGAAACACACACAGCUUUCAAUAAACAACAGUCAUAAUCUUCUGAUAACUCCUCAUAUAAUUCAAUCACUUAGUGCUCCAAUUACAUAAUCAAUAAUUCAUAAAUCAAUCUCUGAUUUAUUCCAUAGACUCACUUCUCAGUAUUCAGAAACUAUCCAUUAUUCUUUAAUAACAAAGAAACAAAGAAACAAAAAAGUAGCACCAAGCUUACCCCGGCUCAUGACUAUCACAGUCUGGCACUUCAACAAACUUCUACAACUCCUAUAUAAUUGCUCUUGAUUUCCAGAUUCUAAUCGUAAUUCCUUAAUUAAUUACUUUUAAUAACUAAAUCAAUCAUCCGUCCUCU